rnacentral:rRNA from 1 species
UACGGAGGGGGCGAGCGUUGUCCGAAGUUACUGGGCGUAAAGCGCGCGUAGGCGGGAAAUUAAGUGAGAAGUGAAAGGCUGGGGCUUAACCCCAUGCAGUGCUCCUCAUACUGGUUUUCUUGAGGGUGGUAGAGAGAAGUGGAAUGGCUGGUGUAGCGGUGAAAUGCGUAGAUAUCAGUCGGAACACCAGUGGCGAAGGCGGCUUCUUGGGCCAUUACUGACGCUGAGGCGCGAAAGCCAGGGGAGCGAACGGG